rnacentral:rRNA from 1 species
AUUGAACGCUGGCGGCAUGCCUUACACAUGCAAGUCGAACGGCAGCACGGACUUCGGUCUGGUGGCGAGUGGCGAACGGGUGAGUAAUGUAUCGGAACGUACCUUUCAGUGGGGGAUAACGUAGCGAAAGUUACGCUAAUACCGCAUAUUCUGUGAGCAGGAAAGCAGGGGAUCGCAAGACCUUGCGCUGAUUGAGCGGCGAUAUCAGGUUAGCUAGUUGGUGAGGUAAAGGCUCACCAAGGCGACGAUCUGUAGCGGGUCUGAGAGGAUGACCCGCCACACUGGAACUGAGACACGGUCCAGACUCCUACGGGAGGCAGCAGUGGGGAAUUUUGGACAAUGGGGGCAACCUGAUCCAGCCAUG